rnacentral:lncRNA from 13 species
CGAAGAUCUGGACUUCCUGAUUUCCAAUCAGGUGGAUUUCUGAACAACGGUUACUGAGCAAAAUACAGCAGGACAUCAAGCUUGGCACAAACUUUUCUUGACCUGUGCUGUAGGCACCAUGCAGAGUUCCUGCCUUUGAGGAUUUUAUUUUGUUUGAGGAAAUAGACGAACACAGUGACUUCAAUGCCGUCCUGGAGAUAUUUCAGGCAGCGGGAACCUUGUGGACAAAGAUAUUGAAGCAGGGAAGUGUAGGGCUUGUUUCAGGAAAGGCGAUUAGAACUACAUGAUUGAAACAGGAAGGUCCAAGGUCAAGGCCAUCUCUCUGGAGAACUGCAAAAGGCACCAUCCCAUUGUCUUCUUGGGAGAAGAUUUGAAGGGAGAAAUGACAUCAGAUUUGCCCAUUUCUAAAAGGACAAAAGCUCUAUAUUUUCCUGCAUCAGCAAAACUGUCAACUGGAGAUAAGGCGUUUGUAACUAAUUCCCAAGUUAAUCCCAGGUUUGUGCUGGAACAGAGUCCAAACAGGAUAAAAUACCCUGAGAAGCUUUGUUCAGAUUGCUGCAGACUGGCCAGAGACAGGAAAUACUGGAAACCAUAAGAGAGAGCCUGUUCUGACGCGAAUUCCAGCAGAGUUUGGUUCAUUCAAAUGAGUUCCAAAACAAAAGAAAAAUCCUUACAUGAUCGGCCAAUAUUUUUAGGGUAUUCCUCCAAAACAAACAGAAAAUCACAUCUUUAAAAGCACCCAUGUCUGGAGCCCAGCCAGUGCCCCAGUUCCCUGGGCAGCCCCUUGCUCUGUAUCAGGAGAGGGCCCGUGAAGGGAAAUCACAAUCAUAUGGCCCUUUAGUGACACUGCUGCUUGUCAUGGGCCUCCUGUAUAACUCUGCCCACGAGCGCUUUCCUCAGGCUGCAACAUAGAAAACUAUUGAGUUUCAUUUUUCUUGUGCUGGAUAAUAUGCCAACCUUAAUUGAUAUGAUGCUGUCAUUCUCUCACCCUGUGAAAGAAAAUCGCUACAGGCUCAUGGCUUAAUCUUUGCCCAUAGGAGACUUAAUAAAAGCUAUAACUCUAAAAAAAAAUAGAGAGGU